rnacentral:SRP_RNA from 1 species
CCGUGCUAGCCGGGGGAUUAGCGGUACCCUAUACCCACAAUCCGCUACAGUGGGGGUGAUGUUUGCUUUCGGCGCAAAAUCGCUUUGGUCUGGUCUUUGGAAAAAGUGUUGAAGUAUAAGUCUUGCACAACAGAAGCCUGUGAACCGUGUCAGGGUCGGAAGGCAGCAGCACUAAGCAGUCUACUUCUCGUGUGUCGCAAGGUCGCUUAUAUGGAGCUUUGGAAGGAGGUGCCGC